UACAGAGGGUGCAAGCGUUGUUCGGAAUUACUGGGCGUAAAGCGUGUGUAGGCGGUCUCGUAAGUCGGAUGUGAAAGCCCUGGGCUCAACCCAGGAAGUGCACUCGAAACUGCGAGGCUAGAGUAUCGGAGAGGUUGGUGGAAUUCUCGGUGUAGAGGUGAAAUUCGUAGAUAUCGAGAGGAACACCGGUGGCGAAGGCGGCCAACUGGACGAAUACUGACGCUGAGACACGAAAGCGUGGGGAGCAAAUGGG
rnacentral:rRNA from 1 species